GACGAACGCUGGCGGCGUGCCUAAUACAUGCAAGUAGAACGCUGAAGGAGGAGCUUGCUUCUCUGGAUGAGUUGCGAACGGGUGAGUAACGCGUAGGUAACCUGCCUGGUAGCGGGGGAUAACUAUUGGAAACGAUAGCUAAUACCGCAUAACAAUGGAUGACACAUGUCAUUUAUUUGAAAGGGGCAAUUGCUCCACUACAAGAUGGACCUGCGUUGUAUUAGCUAGUAGGUGAGAUAACGGCUCACCUAGGCGACGAUACAUAGCCGACCUGAGAGGGUGAUCGGCCACACUGGGACUGAGACACGGCCCAGACUCCUACGGGAGGCAGCAGUAGGGAAUCUUCGGCAAUGGGGGCAACGCUGACCAAGCAACGCCGCGUGAGUGAAAAAGGUUUUCGGAUCGUAAAGCUCUGUUGUAAGUCAAGAACGAGUGUGAGAGUGGAAAGUUCACACUGUGACGGUAGCUUACCAGAAAGGGACGGCUAACUACGUGCCAGCAGCCGCGGUAAUACGUAGGUCCCGAGCGUUGUCCGGAUUUAUUGGGCGUAAAGCGAGCGCAGGCGGUUUGAUAAGUCUGAAGUUAAAGGCUGUGGCUCAACCAUAGUUCGCUUUGGAAACUGUCAAACUUGAGUGCAGAAGGGGAGAGUGGAAUUCCAUGUGUAGCGGUGAAAUGCGUAGAUAUAUGGAGGAACACCGGUGGCGAAAGCGGCUCUCUGGUCUGUAACUGACGCUGAGGCUCGAAAGCGUGGGGAGCGAACAGG
rnacentral:rRNA from 1 species